GAAGUCAGAUAGGAGCAAAGAAAAGGGGAGGAGGUGCUCAAGUAGAGGUUGGAGACAGUUGUAGGGGGACGGAGGAGGUUGGCACGGCCCUCUCCGCGAGGAGACGGGGCUCGGUAGAAUUUUCCUGGGGCGUGGUAGCGUGGAGUGGAACCUCGAGCGGCGGAGCCCAGUGGAGAGGCAGAACUAGACAGGAGGUGACGGCCUAGGCGGCGGAGUUGGAGAGGCGGAGCUAGGCAGGCGGCGGCGGCCUAGGGCCUUCGUCGGCCUAGGCGGCGGCGGACGGAGUGGACGCAAGCAGGCGUCGCACCCGGUGCGUCGACGGAGCCGGGGGGACGGAGCAGGUUGGCGCGGUCCUCUCCUCAGGAGACGGGGCGGUGGCCUAGCUGGGGUCUCGUCGGCCUAAGCUGCAGAUGACGGAGUGGACGCAAGCAGACGACGCACCCGCGUCGACGAGCACUUGGCAGCAGGUAGAGAGACGGGACGACACAUCCAGUGGGCGCAGCGACCACAGCGUCCAGAAGCCCGCCGUAACUACGAAGCUAACCGUCGACUACAGAGUGAAAGACUAAGGAAUAAGCGACAAUAGUGGUCGACCCAGAAACGCAGAGAGACGAGGGCUCAUAACGUCGGGAAGAGAGUAAAUCGUCCAGUACUAAAACUGAGGGGAGUUGGCUCGACUAAAAGACACGCACGCCUGGCGCC
rnacentral:rRNA from 1 species